GACGAACGCUGGCGGCGUGCUUAACACAUGCAAGUCGAACGGAAAGGCCCUGCUUGCAGGGUACUCGAGUGGCGAACGGGUGAGUAACACGUGGGUGAUCUGCCUCGUACUUCGGGAUAAGCCUGGGAAACUGGGUCUAAUACCGGAUAGGACCUUCUUUUAGUGUAGAAGGUGGAAAGUUUUUCGGUACGAGAUGAGCCCGCGGCCUAUCGGCUUGUUGGGGGGGUAAUGGCCUACCAAGGCGACGACGGGUAGCCGGCCUGAGAGGGUGUACGGCCACAUUGGGACUGAGACACGGCCCAGACUCCUACGGGAGGCAGCAGUGGGGAAUAUUGCACAAUGGGCGCAAGCCUGAUGCAGCGACGCCGCGUGAGGGAUGACGGCCUUCGGGUUGUAAACCUCUUUCGCUAGGGAAGAAGCCACUUAUGUGGUGACGGUACCUGGAUAAGAAGCACCGGCUAACUACGUGCCAGCAGCCGCCGUAAUAC
rnacentral:rRNA from 1 species